rnacentral:lncRNA from 1 species
ACAUUUCUUUCCUUCUCAUUGUAGGAUUAGGACACGUGAAAAACUUUUCUCCUACAAAUAACGCGGAGCACUCCGAAACCUUAGUUCUUAACAUGGAUAUAAACCUAAGAGAAUUCAAGUUAGAAUCGUAGUAGGUAUUCUUUGCUUAAUUUCUAGUGCACUCCAUGCGUAAAGGCGUUGGUUAAUUUCUUGUAUCGUAAAACUAAAACCCUCCUUUUGGUUUAGCUUCUGCGUUGAAAGAUACAGAGAAGAAAGGCAUAUUAAUACAAAUCAAGAAACCAAGAUGAUCCGAGUAAUGGAUGAAAGAGAAGUCAGUCUUCAUUUACAGGCAAUUCCAUGCCGAUUGUUGAGGUUUCUUGUUCCUUUUGGAUUGUUCAGAACAUUCGCAGGCCAAAUAUGGAGAUUAUUUGCAGGCCAAUGCCAGAAUUUGUGCGAUUUCAUAUCGGUGAAGCUUGCAGAAGAGGCAGCGAAGCCUGUGAUUUUGGGUCCCCCUUUACAUGAUAAGUGUAAAUGAUGCCAUGGAAAAGAACUCAUUCAUGUUCGACUUACUUUUACUAAUAGUUAUUGAACUUUAAUAAUGUGGAGAUUUUUACCUUUCUUAUACAGAUUCUUCGUUAAUUGUGUUUUCUUGAUUUAAUUUUAUGUACAGUAUUACGUUUGAAAGAAAAUUGCAGCAUUGGUCACCAAGUUGUGAGGUUGAGCAGCUACUUUUAUGUGUUAAUAAAGCAUCGUGACCCUUUGGUGGGUCGAUCAAUUGCAUUGGGUAAUAGAUGAAGGAUCUAUCUUAAUUGCUAGUGCAUUUGCCAUUCGUUCCGUCAUCAAAUCUACACGGUCUAGUGGAUUGGAUAGAGUUUGAUCCUAGCUUAGAAAGAACACAAGUUCUAUGCUUAACACAUGCGAGUCGACAAGAUCCUGAUUUUUAAAGAAUGUAUAGUUAAAAAUAAGCGGAAAAAAUAGAUUAUCAAAUAAUCGCUGUCAAACAAAAGUCAAGACAUUUCUUUCCUUUUCAUUCGAGGACUAGGACACGUGAAAAACUUCUGCCAUAUCAAUAACGUGGAGCAACAUUUCUUUCCUUCUCAUUGUAGGAUUAGGACACGUGAAAAACUUUUCUCCUACAAAUAACGCGGAGCACUCCGAAACCUUAGUUCUUAACAUGGAUAUAAACCUAAGAGAAUUCAAGUUAGAAUCGUAGUAGGUAUUCUUUGCUUAAUUUCUAGUGCACUCCAUGCGUAAAGGCGUUGGUUAAUUUCUUGUAUCGUAAAACUAAAACCCUCCUUUUGGUUUAGCUUCUGCGUUGAAAGAUACAGAGAAGAAAGGCAUAUUAAUACAAAUCAAGAAACCAAGAUGAUCCGAGUAAUGGAUGAAAGAGAAGUCAGUCUUCAUUUACAGGCAAUUCCAUGCCGAUUGUUGAGGUUUCUUGUUCCUUUUGGAUUGUUCAGAACAUUCGCAGGCCAAAUAUGGAGAUUAUUUGCAGGCCAAUGCCAGAAUUUGUGCGAUUUCAUAUCGGUGAAGCUUGCAGAAGAGGCAGCGAAGCCUGUGAUUUUGGGUCCCCCUUUACAUGAUAAGUGUAAAUGAUGCCAUGGAAAAGAACUCAUUCAUGUUCGACUNNN